GCCCAGAUAGCUCAGUCGGUAGAGCAGCGGACUGAAAAUCCGCGUGUCGUUGGUUCAAUUCCGACUCUGGGCACCA
rnacentral:tRNA from 1 species